rnacentral:ncRNA from 2 species
UAGUUGCCAUAACUCCGAGCUCUUAAGCUAAGUUCCUGCGGGGAUACGCUGAAUGAGCCAGUGGCAUUUUGCCACGAGGGCCAGGUUGGAAAUGACCUUGCCUCCCGUGUUUGGAAAGGUGUUCCGUGGCGCAACAA